rnacentral:rRNA from 1 species
CUAGUUGGUGGGGUAAUGGCCUACCAAGGCGACGACGGGUAGCCGGCCUGAGAGGGCGACCGGCCACACUGGGACUGAGACACGGCCCAGACUCCUACGGGAGGCAGCAGUGGGGAAUCUUGCGCAAUGGGCGAAAGCCUGACGCAGCGACGCCGCGUGGGGGAUGAAGGCCUUCGGGUUGUAAACCCCUUUCAGCAGGGACGAAGCGAAAGUGACGGUACCUGCAGAAGAAGCGCCGGCUAACUACGUGCCAGCAGCCGCGGUAACACGUAGGGCGCAAGCGUUGUCCGGAAUUAUUGGGCGUAAAGAGCUCGUAGGCGGACUGUUGCGUCCGCUGUGAAAAGCUGGGGCUUAACCCUGGCCUUGCAGUGGAUACGGGCAGACUAGAGGUAGGUAGGGGAGAAUGGAAUUCCCGGUGUAGCGGUGAAAUGCGCAGAUAUCGGGAGGAACACCGGUGGCGAAGGCGGUUCUCUGGGCCUUACCUGACGCUGAGGAGCGAAAGCGUGGGGAGCGAACAGGAUUAGAUACCCUGGUAGUCCACGCUGUAAACGUUGGGCGCUAGGUGUGGGGUCCUUCCACGGAUUCCGUGCCGCAGCUAACGCAUUAAGCGCCCCGCCUGGGGAGUACGGCCGCAAGGCUAAAACUCAAAGGAAUUGACG